GUAAACUUUAGGAAUUACAUUGUUAAAACAAUGAAAAAUAUAUUUUGUCAACUUUAGGAAAUACGUUGCCAAAACUAAAACUAAUACCUUGUGUAAACUUUAGGAAAUACAUUGCUAAGACAAUAAAAUAUGAGUUAAGAAAAAGCACAGUUAUUAAUUUUGUAAACACAAAAACAUUAGUUGAAGCAACUUUUCUCCUAAACUUGAAAUUAUAAGUUAUUCAUCAGAACCUAAAAACGUAAAUGCAGUGGGUUGCCUUGAGUUUUUAAGUUUUUGCAACAAUUCUUUUUUUUACAGUGUAUUUUAUUUAGUGCCCUGUGAACUAAUGCCUUUCUUCCAACCAUGUCUAACAAAAACACAUGAAUUUAAAUAAAAUAUCCAUAAAGUAAAGUAGAAAGGAUUGCUUUUGUAUAAUAAAACAGUAAGAAUAGGAGUAAAUUUUGAUUUUGAUAUAUUGGUAUGUCACAAAGUCAUGUAUUAUAUUAGCAAUGAGUAAUAUUGCACUGAAGUUUAUGUUAUUGAGUAAUAAGGGGGCAGAAACUUGGAAUAAUAAUGUGGAAACAUUACUUUAUUAACUUGGUUUUCCAUAUUAUUACCGUCUUGUUUCCACAUUAUUACACCACUAUUAUGGCAUUAUUAUGAAGUUGUAAUAGAAAGGAUUACCAAAGUGUGAAGAAUUAUCAUUGAAAUCAUUUUUUAAAUGUGUUUUGGAGAAGUUUGUCUAAGUUUAUAAGACAUCUUUGAGUUUCAGGAGAGGAAAAAAAGUGGUAAACAUUUAAAUGCAUAAAGCAAAACAUAUAGUUGGCCCAGAAAUUGAGCUCAGCAUCACACAUACUGUUUCAUCUUGCAAAGAAACCCUGUAAUGUUUGCCAAUAUUCCCUUGGCUUGUCCAUUUGAAUAGUGCAUGGAAUGACAUUUAUAAUACGCCCUUUACUCUGCUCACCUCAUUAUAGGUAAGGCAAGCUGUGAGGAAAUGGCUUUAGAUUAUGAAAAACAGAGCCACAGGAAUUCAGCUGAAAAGUCCAAACCUUUGGCAGUUCUCUCAGGAGAAUCUACACAUACAGUGCAUUAUUUACAGCCUAUUCUAAUACUAACUCAGCCAUGGAUGAGCUGCACAAGGCAAUAAGGAGUCAGCAGAACUCCUAUCCCAAUGCAGUGUACAUCAUAGUUGGGGACUUUAACCAUGUUGACUUAAGGUCAGUAUUCACCAAAUUUGAACAUUAUAGCAACAAGGUGGAAAAACACACUGGAUAAAGCCUACAGCAACAUCCAAAAAGGCUACAGAGCAACCCCUCUCGGACUAAUGGUGUCAAAGGCCCCUCCCAUCAGAAGGAGACACACUCCACCCACUCCAGUUCGCAUACAGAGCUAACACAUUAACUGAAGAUGCCAUUGUUACAACGCUCAGAAUACUGCAGCAAGACUCUUAACAGGCACCAACAAAAGAUCUCAUAUCACCCCAGUUUUGGCCUCCCUUCACUGGUUGCCUGUAAAUUUUAGGUUUCAUUUUCAAAUUUUACUUCUAACCUUUAGGGCCCUACAUGGUCAAGCUCCACAGUAUAUAUAUCUGACCCGCUGAAACUGCAUUCAUCUUCCCAAGCUCUAAGGUCAUCAGGUCAACAACUGCUGAUUCCACCACACACUCGAUUUUAAACUCGUGGUGAUCGUUCCUUUCAGGCAGUGGCACCACAGUUGUGGAAUUCUCUUUCACUGUUUUUACACUGUACUGACACCACUGAUUCUUUUAAAAAGCAGCUGAAGAUAUUUUUAUAUAGACAAGCAUUCAACUAAUUUGUUGUUUUUAUGUUGUAUUUUAUUGUUUUACAUUGUCCAGCAUGUUGACUGUUACCUGAAAUGCCACUUACUGACCAACAGAUGGCACUCUUACAAAUACCAAAUCUGAUUUGGUAUCUGUAGUCAGACAGUGCUUGUGUCAUCAGUGUCACUUUAACAUUACAAAGAGUAAAAACAAGUAAAAUAUAUUUACAAUAAGCAGACCUAAGUGCCGGAAAGUUCAAACACUGAAAAGCACAAAGGCCAACUUUGUGUCAUCCUCUGAAUGCUUCAUGACACUCUUAGACAGUUUUUAUCCUUCAAUGCUGAUUUGACUGAGUGAUGUGUACAUGGUUUUAUUUAUUUACUUACUUUCACAUUUACCUCGACUUACUUUGCUUCAGCCAGCUGUGUUUUUAUAAUCAUGCAGUCAUCGGACCUUUGGAACCUUUGUGAAUUGGACAAAAUCCAAAAUAAAUUCAAACUUGUGCACCCA
ensembl:lncRNA